rnacentral:misc_RNA from 1 species
CCCAACUAUCCCUAUAAUCAUUACGUCAAUCCUAGAAACCAACAAAAUAGAAUUAAACGUCCUAUUUCAUUAUUCCAUGCUAAUGUAUUCAAGCGCGAGCCUGCUUUAAACACUCUAAUUUUUUCAAAGUAACAGUCCUGAUUUCCCAUGACACCAAAUUAAUGACAUCAUGGUUCUUCAGAAGGGAGAAACCAAUAAUGUCAGUACGUACCAAGGCACGACCAACAAUUUGAUCUCGAAAUUCAACUACGAGCUUUUUAACUGCAACAACUUUAAUAUACGCUAUUGGAGCUGGAAUUACCGCGGCUGCUGGCACCAGACUUGCCCUCCAA